AACGAACGCUGGCGGCAUGCCUAACACAUGCAAGUCGAACGAGACCUUCGGGUAUAGUGGCGCACGGGUGCGUAACGCGUGGGAACCUGCACUUAGGUUCGGAAUAACUCUCCGAAAGGGGUGCUAAUACCGGAUGAUGUCUUCGGACCAAAGAUUUAUCGCCUUUGGAUGGGCCCGCGUUGGAUUAGCUAGUUGGUAGGGUAAGAGCCUACCAAGGCGACGAUCCAUAGCUGGUCUGAGAGGAUGAGCAGCCACACUGGGACUGGGACACGGCCCAGACUCCUGGGGGAGGCAGCAGUGGGGAAUAUUGGACAAUGGGCGAAAGGCUGAUCCAGCAAUGCCGCGUGAGUGAUGAAGGCCUUAGGGUUGUAAAGCUCUUUUACCCGUGAUGAUAAUGACAGUACCGGGAGAAUAAGCUCCGGCUAACUCCGUG
rnacentral:rRNA from 1 species